AGAGUUUGAUCCUGGCUCAGGACGAACGCUGGCGGCGCGCCUAACACAUGCAAGUCGAACGAGCGAGAGAGAGCUUGCUUUCUCGAGCGAGUGGCGAACGGGUGAGUAACGCGUGAGGAACCUGCCUCAAAGAGGGGGACAACAGUUGGAAACGACUGCUAAUACCGCAUAAGCCCGCGGGUCGGCAUCGACCAGAGGGAAAAGGAGCAAUCCGCUUUGAGAUGGCCUCGCGUCCGAUUAGCUAGUUGGUGAGGUAACGGCCCACCAAGGCGACGAUCGGUAGCCGGACUGAGAGGUUGAACGGCCACAUUGGGACUGAGACACGGCCCAGACUCCUACGGGAGGCAGCAGUGGGGAAUAUUGCACAAUGGGGGAAACCCUGAUGCAGCGACGCCGCGUGGAGGAAGAAGGUCUUCGGAUUGUAAACUCCUGCUGUUGAGGAAGAUAAUGACGGUACUCAACAAGGAAGUGACGGCUAACUACGUGCCAGCAGCCGCGGUAAAACGUAGGUCACAAGCGUUGUCCGGAAUUACUGGGUGUAAAGGGAGCGCAGGCGGGAAGACAAGUUGGAAGUGAAAUCCAUGGGCUCAACCCAUGAACUGCUUUCAAAACUGUUUUUCUUGAGUAGUGCAGAGGUAGGCGGAAUUCCCGGUGUAGCGGUGGAAUGCGUAGAUAUCGGGAGGAACACCAGUGGCGAAGGCGGCCUACUGGGCACCAACUGACGCUGAGGCUCGAAAGUGUGGGUAGCAAACAGGAUUAGAUACCCUGGUAGUCCACACCGUAAACGAUGAUUACUAGGUGUUGGAGGGUUGACCCCUUCAGUGCCGCAGUUAACACAAUAAGUAAUCCACCUGGGGAGUACGACCGCAAGGUUGAAACUCAAAGGAAUUGACGGGGGCCCGCACAAGCAGUGGAGUAUGUGGUUUAAUUCGACGCAACGCGAAGAACCUUACCAAGUCUUGACAUCCCUUGACGAUGCUGGAAACAGUAUUUCUCUUCGGAGCAAGGAGACAGGUGGUGCAUGGUUGUCGUCAGCUCGUGUCGUGAGAUGUUGGGUUAAGUCCCGCAACGAGCGCAACCCUUAUGGUCAGUUACUACGCAAGAGGACUCUGGCCAGACUGCCGUUGACAAAACGGAGGAAGGUGGGGAUGACGUCAAAUCAUCAUGCCCUUUAUGACUUGGGCUACACACGUACUACAAUGGCGUUAAACAAAGAGAAGCAAGACCGCGAGGUGGAGCAAAACUCAGAAACAACGUCCCAGUUCGGACUGCAGGCUGCAACUCGCUUGCACGAAGUCGGAAUUGCUAGUAAUCGUGGAUCAGCAUGCUACGGUGGAUACGUUCCCGGGCCUUGUACACACCGCCCGUCA
rnacentral:rRNA from 1 species